UGGGAAUUGGAUNNGCAAUGGGCGAAAGCCUGAUCCAGCAAUGCCGCGUGUGUGAAGAAGGCCUUCGGGUUGUAAAGCACUUUUGUCCGGAAAGAAAUCCUCUGGGUUAAUACCUCGGGGGGAUGACGGUACCGGAAGAAUAAGCACCGGCUAACUACGUGCCAGCAGCCGCGGUAAUACGUAGGGGUGCAAGCGUUAAUCGGAAUUACUGGGGCGUAAAGCGUGCGCAGGCGGUUUUUGUAAGACGGAUGUGAAAUCCCCGGGCUUAACCUGGGAACUGCAUUCGUGACUGCAAGGCUAGAGUAUGGCAGAGGGGGGUAGAAUUCCACGUGUAGCAGUGAAAUGCGUAGAGAUGUGGAGGAAUACCGAUGGCGAAGGCAG
rnacentral:rRNA from 1 species